rnacentral:rRNA from 1 species
UGCAGCCGCCGCGGUAAUACGGAGGGUGCAAGCGUUAUCCGGAUUCAUUGGGUUUAAAGGGUGCGCAGGCGGAUACUUAAGUCAGUGGUGAAAUCCCGGGGCUCAACCCCGGAACUGCCAUUGAUACUGAAUAUCUGGAAUACGGUUGAAGUGGGCGGAAUGUAGCAUGUAGCGGUGAAAUGCAUAGAGAUGCUACAGAACACCGAUCGCGAAGGCAGCUCACUAAGCCGAUAUUGACGCUCAGGCACGAAAGCGUGGGGAGCGAACAGGAUUAGAUACCCUGGUAGUCCACGCCGUAAACGAUGAUAACUCGUUGUUGGCGACACACAGUCAGCGACUAAGCGAAAGCGAUAAGUUAUCCACCUGGGGAGUACGAUCGCAAGGUUGAAACUCAAAGGAAUUGGCGG